UUUCUUACAUUGAACCAGAGAGAUAGAUAUGCAAUCGUGUGUUAGUUGGUCGCACUUAUUGAAGAAAUAUAAUUAUUUGUAUGCAUUGUAUAAAUGCACACUUGUUCAUACAUAAAGCUUUUGAGUUUAGUUAAACUUUUAUUGUGUUGAGUCUCACUGAAUAGAAUAAGCUUUAUGUGAAACUUAAGUUACGAGACUCACCU
rnacentral:lncRNA from 1 species